CUCUAAAGCCUAACUUGUCCAUCUCACUUACUGUCUGAAUCUUCCCAACUUAUGCAUGCCCACUUUUAUUGUUUAAAUUUGUUUCUUUUUUUUUUUUUUAAACACAGGGAGACUGCAUUGCUUAUUGAUCCAAAAAAUUCCUGUUCUUCAUCCCGCCAGUGGGUUGCUCUGGUUGUGGGACAUGAACUCGCCCAUCAAUGGUUUGGAAAUCUUGUUACUAUGGAAUGGUGGACUCAUCUUUGGUUAAAUGAAGGUUUUGCAUCCUGGAUUGAAUAUCUGUGUGUAGACCACUGCUUCCCAGAGUAUGAUAUUUGGACUCAGUUUGUUUCUGCUGAUUACACCCGUGCCCAGGAGCUUGACGCCUUAGAUAACAGCCAUCCUAUUGAAUAUUACAGGCUAUCUGCUUCCUGUCAUAACCCUGAAUCACACUGUCUGCCAGGUCAGUGUGGGCCAUCCAUCUGAGGUUGAUGAGAUAUUUGAUGCUAUAUCAUAUAGCAAAGGUGCAUCUGUCAUCCGAAUGCUGCAUGACUACAUUGGGGAUAAGGACUUUAAGAAAGGAAUGAACAUGUAUUUAACCAAGUUCCAACAAAAGAAUGCUGCCACAGGUAAUCUUUAAUAGCUUGAGAUAGAAAUGGAGAGAAAGUAUUGUCACUCUAUCCAGGCUGAGGCAUUUUAUUUUUGUUCUGAAUACUUAACUCAAGGUCAGGAUCAAUGUAAUAAAUAAAUUAGCCUUAUUUGAA
rnacentral:sRNA from 1 species